rnacentral:tRNA from 1 species
AUUUCUAUAGUUGAACAACAACAAUGGUUUUUCAAGUCAUAGGUCUCGGUUAAAUUCCGGGUAGAAAUA